rnacentral:rRNA from 1 species
GUCCACGCCCUAAACGAUGUCGACUGGUUGUUGGGUUGGUACACUCUCAGUAACGAAGCUAACGCGUGAAGUCGACCGCCUGGGAGGUACGGCCGCAAGGUUAAACUACAAAGGAAUUGACGGGACCCGCACAAGCGGUGGAUUAUGUGGAUUAAUUCGAUGCAACGCGAAAACCUUAACCUACCCUUGACAUGUCCUGAAGCCUGGAGAGAUCCGGGUGUGCCCGAAAGGGAACGGGAACACAGGUGCUGCAUGGCUGUCGU